rnacentral:rRNA from 1 species
UGCCGUGAGGCUGAGCGAAUCCCAAAAUAAACGUCUCAGUUCGGAUUGUAGUCUGCAACCCGACUACAUGAAGCUGGAAUCGCUAGUAAUCGCGGAUCAGAAUGCCGCGGUGAAUGCGUUCUCGGGCCUUGUACACACCGCCCGUCACACCAUGGGAGCCGGUAAUACCCGAAGUCAGUAGUCCAACCUCGUGAGGACGCUGCCGAAGGUAGGAUUGGCGACUGGGGUGAAGUCGUAACAAGGUAAC